rnacentral:misc_RNA from 1 species
AAAAUAGCCAUGCUGACAUGUCCGUAUUGUGUUGUAAAUGUAUCCUUGCCCAUUAAAUGAACCAAUUUGUGUGUUUCGCACAAUUGUUUAGCUAUCAUAAUUCAGUCUCACUGCAUCAUUAAAUAAGUAAACAAAUACAUGUUCUAGUUCUAACCCAUUGGUCCUCACAGAAUCAUUUUUAUCUGCCUUCAAAAUACUUCAGAAAUCCAGUACAUCAGACGUGUUCACAAUCCAAUUUGUGCCCAUGCGUGACUACAGAAUUACAUUAUCAAAAUGCUAAUAGACCUUAAAUGCAAAACCAAAACAACAAAAAGAACUUACCCAUUCAUAAUUCUUUGAAAGAAA